rnacentral:rRNA from 1 species
GAUGAACGCUGGCGGCGUGCCUAAUACAUGCAAGUCGAGCGAACAGACGAGGAGCUUGCUCCUCUGACGUUAGCGGCGGACGGGUGAGUAACACGUGGAUAACCUACCUAUAAGACUGGGAUAACUUCGGGAAACCGGAGCUAAUACCGGAUAAUAUAUUGAACCGCAUGGUUCAAUAGUGAAAGACGGUUUUGCUGUCACUUAUAGAUGGAUCCGCGCCGCAUUAGCUAGUUGGUAAGGUAACGGCUUACCAAGGCAACGAUGCGUAGCCGACCUGAGAGGGUGAUCGGCCACACUGGAACUGAGACACGGUCCAGACUCCUACGGGAGGCAGCAGUAGGGAAUCUUCCGCAAUGGGCGAAAGCUUGACGGGGCAACGCCGCGUGAGUGAUGAAGGUCUUCGGAUCGUAAAACUCUGUUAUUAGGGAAGAACAAAUGUGUAAGUAAAUAUGCACGUCUUGACGGUACCUAAUCAGAAAGCCACGGCUAACUACGUG